rnacentral:tRNA from 1 species
GUCCCUGUAGCAGAAUGGCAUAUGCGGCGGGCUGAGGCCCCGCGCCGGACUAACAUCCGUUGUGAGUUCAAGUCUCACCAGGGAUA